rnacentral:rRNA from 1 species
UACGGGGGGGGCAAGCGUUGUUCGGAAUUACUGGGCGGAAAGGGCUCGUAGGCGGCCAACUAAGUCAGACGUGAAAUCCCUCGGCUUAACCGGGGAACUGCGUCUGAUACUGGAUGGCUUGAGUUUGGGAGAGGGAUGCGGAAUUCCAGGUGUAGCGGUGAAAUGCGUAGAUAUCUGGAGGAACACCGGUGGCGAAGGCGGGUCUCUGGGCCGAUACUGACGCUGAGGAGCGAAAGCGUGGGGAGCGAACAGG